rnacentral:lncRNA from 1 species
ACUCUAGUUGUUUCAUUUCACCAUCUGUAAAAUGUAGAUAACCAUUAGAAGUACAUAGAUAGUUCAGGAACUUAGCUAGUGGCAAAAUGAGAGCAUCAAAUUAAUAAUAUCCUUAUUUUACAGUUUAAAAUUAUAAUAGUUAAUAAUCUAAUUUAUAGUGUCAACAAAAAUAUGACCCCUAGGAAUAAAACUAAUAUCUGCUCCUCCCCACCCCCAAAUUCAAACUACCUAAAUAAUUAUGAAAGGAUAUAAAUUAGAAAACUUUAGGAUAUAACUUAUAAAACUUCUGAUCAUCCCCAACAUGAUCAUAUCAUUUACAUAUACAUUUUUUUUUUCUUGAGACCGAGUUUUGCUCUUGUUGCACAGGCUGCAGUGCAAUGGCACGACCUCAGUUCGCCACAACAUCUACCUCCCUGGUUUAACCAAUGCUCCUGCCUCAGCCUCCCAAGUAGCUGGGAUUACAGUUUUGUAGGUGAAGUCAAAAAUGUGUCCCACUGGACUAAAAUCAAAGCUUCAGUGGGGCUGUGUUCUUGUUGGAGGCUUUGGAGAAUCGGCUUCUUUGCCCUUUCCAGCUCGUAGAAGUUACCUGUGCUCCUCAGAUCGUGACCUCCAUCCUCCAUCUUGAAAGUCACACAUGCUGCUAUCACUCUGGUUCUUCCUCUUCGGUCUCCCACAUUAAGGAUCCUCUUGAUUACUACAGAUCCAUCCAGCUAAUCCAGGACGAUCUCCCUAUCUUAAGGUCAUCUGCAAUCAUUGAAGUUUACUUUCAGAAAUAAUUCUUCUUUGUUGUAUAACUAACAUAGUCACAGAUUCCAGAGCUUAGGAUGUGAACGUCUUUGGGGAACCACUAUUCUGCUUACUAGAAAAUGUAAUAAAGACAAAUAAAGAAAAUUUGUUGAAAAAAGUAAGACAAUAAUUUAUUCAAUAAAAAUUGUUGAUAAGUAAAAAGCAUAGAUAAAACUACAAAAUGUGGAAAAAGGAAAUGAGUUCCUCCUCUCACAUUAUACAUUAAUUUAACAAAGAAUGCAUUAAAAUGUAUAUGUACAGAUCUUCCUGAGAACUAGAAUAGUUACAGAAGAAUAUAUAGAGGAAUUCAAGUAAAAUAGAAAGCAUAAAGGAAAAUAUUAGCUGAUUUCACUGUAAUACAUUAGUAUUAUAUUACUACAGUAUAAAGUUUAUAUAUCAAAAAAAUCAUAAAUUAAAUUAAAAGAUAGACAACAAAUCAUGCUAUUUACUUGGAUUUAAAUGUCAUAUUCUUAUUUCUACUAUGUAAAGAGUUGCUAUAAAUAAUUUUAAAGCAUAUAUACCAAAAGCAAAAAUGAUCAAAGAAAAUGAAUAUGUUGAAGAGACACAAAAAAAUAGUAGUUUUGUCCCACCAGUAAUCAAAGAAAUGUCGUUUCUAACAAUAAGAAAAUAUAAUAUCUCAUUUGUUAAAUUGAAAUUUUUCAUUGUAUCAUAACUUUAACAGUGAUGGUGAAGAAACAGCAUAUUUGGAUACUUUCAAAUAACUGCUGGAAUAAAGCAAUUAAAAAUAUAUACCAAUAUUUUGUAUAGUAUUUGUAUUAUAUUUUAUUUGGUCUGAUAAUUACAAGUCCACAAAAACAAUCAGAAUGACUCAAAAGAUAAUUUAAGCAAAUUAAAUAUUAGGAACAAGCUAUGGGCGACUGGACAAAUUAAGGACUUUCUUGGGUACAUCCUAUUUGUUCAGCAUUGAAUGAGUUCCUUUAUAUAUUUUAUCUUUAAUAUUUAGAAUAACAAGGAGUGAUAUAAUAGACUGAUACUUAAUCCUAAACAAUAACUCAUAGAGAGAUAUUCAAUGAAAUAAAGUUUUUCAGAAUAUAUAAUGAAAUGCUCCCUUAUUUCUUUAUCCAGUAAACUGUAUGGCCAUCUUGCACUAACUUAUAUGCCUGAUGUUUUGUUUGUUGCUAGAAAGACAACAGAUAAUAAGUUUCAUGCAUCUACUCUCAUGGCGUUUACAAAGUCAAUAAACCAAUAAUUGCAAGGGUUUGGGAUCUAAAUGUGUU